GAAUUUAUAUGACCGUUAAUGGGGACUGUAAAUUGCUGUCAAUGGGGAUAACUCGCUCCAUGGGUUUUUGGAGAGGUGGAGGGAGGGAGCGGGCAGGAAGACGGGAAGGUGCCCCACGAUGGACAUGAAGAGCUGUACAACAGCUUUAAGGCACCGCUGUCUGCUGGCAUAUAGUAGAUAAUAAAAAUUUGUUUUAAUUUAGCACAUAAGGAUAUGAUGUCAAAAUAAAAGGUCUCAAGAACAAGUAAGAAACAUAAAAAAGUCAUAGCCCAUGCUGUGAGUAUCAGCUGCACGUCAUAAAGAUACAUUAAUGGUGUAUUUCUUUAAAAGAAAUUUUUGUAGUUGGGAGUUUUAUGAGAAAUAAGUUUAAAAUAUUAAAAGUGGAAGUUUUAUGAUUGGAGGGGGAAAAGCUUCACUUGAAGGCGAUGGGAACAGAAGGAGCACAGAAGUGCAGUGCUGGGCACGCUGGUGCAGCCAGCUGUGGCUCUGCCCCGUGGGGACCCUUCCACUGUGCAGUGCCCCCACAGAUGCCAGUGGGAGACUUGUUUUAGUGGGAACAGAAUCAGGCCCCAGAGGUCAGAGCUACGGACACGACCCAAAGUCUUCUUGUAAAACAACAGGAAAGCAAAGCUGCUGAAAACAAACCCACGUGUGUGCCAACAGAAAAAAAUAAAAUCAAUGGAGCAAUGCUUUGCUGUCAGACACGGGUUACAGAGAAAAGCAAUUAAUCUAGGGGUUGAGUUGGAGUGUUGGUUCAUCCUCUCUGGUUCCGGGCUAGGAGUGACUAUUGCAACAUCCUGCAUGGAAUCACAUCCAGCAGGAGGCUGUGUCCAGCAGGACCACGCUUGGUGGGAUCCUCACUAGGAGAGAGCUCACAGCAGCUUUGCUGCUAUGGAUCACCUCGUGUUACCUCUGUUGGGGAAGCCUGUGGCUCGUGUCUGUAGGGAAGCUCCCAAGGAGUGUCCCAGGAAGAGCUCAGGGUGUCAGUGCAUCUCUAUAGAGCUGGUGGUUUCCAGGCACAGAAUAAAGACACAGGCACAAGAAUAAUAUUGAAACAGAUGAGAUCAUUUCUAUCGAUGUCAAGCAGCUGCUGGUGGUGAUCACCCAUAGGGACUGUUUUACCGUAGAUUUACAUCCAGGGGUCUUCAGCUGAGACAAAGCACUGUUUCUUCUGUUUGCAGUAAUCUGUGCAGAGUGGUGUGAUCUGAAGGAGAUGGACUCAAUGGUCCUUAUGGAUCCCUUCCAAUACAGGAUAUUCCACGAACCUAAAAGGAUGGGAGAUGCUUGCUUGGGUCAAGGUGUGCACCUUGCCCUUGCAGAUAGGUUGCUCUCCUCCAGCCCCAACUGAGUGCAAAGGAUCACACGAAGAGUUUCACCAAACAGCUGGCUGCCAACGGGCCCUUAGGCUUGAAAUUACAGCUCUGGAGAAACAAGGAUUAAAGCUUCAUCCAAACCUGUUGCCAUCACAUAGACUUUUUUUUCCCCUCCAGAAUAUUAAGACAAAUACGCAGUGCCUUGGACACUAUAAAUAUUAAUGCAGAGUACAUUACGCGUGUGUAGUGUAAAUAUUCAUGAUGAAUGAAUAUUAAUGCCUUACAUCUGAAUGAUCUCCCAGGGCACUCACAGGGCGCAUCAGCCAAGAAGUGAUCCUUCCCUCCCUGGUCCCAGUUGUCCACAAGCAGCAAUGGUGAGCACUGCUCUAGUGAACUUUUUCCAAGGAACAUCCUUAAAACAGAAUGAAACAAUCCCAAAUCCUGGUCCCUGUCUCACAAACCCCUGUCAGAGUACCUGGAGAACACUCUAUGAACCAAAUCAUGCAUGAUGCUGGGGAUGGCGGUGCUCUUGAAACAAGGCUGCCACCGUCAGACUGCUCGGAGCCCUGUGUGGUCCAUUAUAUUUUAUGCUGGUUUCCUAAACAUUCACAGUUAAAUAAACGAUGAUAACACUUCAUAAACAUUUUUCUAACAUGCGGAAUGUUUGACAUGAAUUUCAGCUAUUUUAAAACUAAUAAACAAUUGUCAAUCGGAUGUUGGAGACUAAGCAGAAGCCACAGCCAUUCUUAUGGAACAUCAAAGGCAUAAUAAAUAUCUUAUUUUUUCAAGCAAAGCUUUUGUACUUUUGCGUAGGAACCUCUGUCAGAGAGCAGAGGGCUGAGCACUGGGGCUGUGUGUUGCUGUCUGCUGUGCUCAGGGUUGUGAUGGAGAAAUAUGAGGCGUCACACUUUGGUUGAUCGGUCUGAGCUUCAGAAAUCUCCCAGCAUUUGGGAAAAAAACAGAUGAGCAGCCAUCAGGCUCCCUCUCCACUAGCUGCAAAUGCACUUUUGCAAGUGCAAAGGUGCUUUGUGAAGCUGCUUGCUGCCUCCCAGGCUCCUCCAUCCACCCAGCAUCAUCCAGCAUCACACUUGGGGGGGAAUGGAGGGAAAGUGUGGGUUUUGCAUCACCACGGAGCCCUGCUGCAAUGGCUGAGAGCACAGGCAGGGCUUCCUCAGUGCUGGCUCUGCCCUUUGGUUGUGCCCUGCUGGGUGGGGAAAGCAGCCAGCACACAACAUAAGUCAGCAGCAAUAGAACAUCACCGGAACACUUUUUUUUUUUUCUGAUGAGUGCCCUGGAUUGGAAAAAAGGAUAAGAAGGAGCAGAUUUAGAGUAACAGCUCAUUUAACAAGAGAUGGUCUGUCUCCUUUAAUCUAUUGCUGGUCAUGUCCCAACCAGCUAAAGGUUUCCCAAUAGCAAGAGCUGGUGAGCAUUGGCGAGGAAGCUGCGGCCACCCAAGAUCCUUCUGUGUGCUGGGAGGACAAGAAGGAGCCCCCAGGAGCAGAGCAAUCAGGUCCUGGCUCCUCUCUGCCCUGCCUGAAGGCUGCGAUGCCCAAUAGGAUGGAAGUGGUCCCAUGGAUGGAGGCUGCAAUGCCCAAUGGGAUGAUAGUAGUCCCCACGGUUGGGAUGGGGAAUGGUGGCUGUGUGGGAGGACGGCUGGGAUUGCAGUGAUGCUUGGUAGAACUGGAAGGUUUUGGAACUAAUACCUUCUGCAGGCUGUCAGCCGUGAUGCCCAGGGAAAACAUAUAGAGAAGGUGUUACUUUGCCCUGCUCUGCAAAACCCUCUCUAAAUUCACACUUUUCCCAGUGCCAUCCGUGCAGAUGCCACGUGCCGCUGCUGGGGCUGGGUCGUGCCCCCUGUGCUGCAGGAUUCCAGCUCUACCCCUUGUGCCAGCAUCGCAUCUUUCCCCUCUGCACCGCAGGAGUGUUUUCUGCUGCUGCUCCCACCGGGAUUUUCCCAGUGGCAGGAAGAGGCUGGUGAGCCCCACGGAGCCAGUCUGGCUGCUCCGGGCCCAGGCGGGCGCUGGGGCAGAUAAGUAAACACUCGCGGCUCUGACAUAAAUUACUUCAGUCCUUGACAGCAGGACACUGACCAGGGUCGCCUGAUAAGGGAGGGAAAGCCUUGCAUGUCUCUCAGUCCCACUCAGAUAUUUCACAAUAAAUGUCACUGGGAAAGAAUAGACACUUCUGUACCCAUUAGGCAGCUGCAUGUUCCUGUCACCUUGAGAAGGAGGGACGCAUUGUCAGAGCUGUCGGAGCAGGCAGGAACCAGCUGUUAAUCUGCUCUAACAUCCUUUUUCACAG
rnacentral:lncRNA from 1 species